rnacentral:sRNA from 1 species
AAAAACCUUAAUAGCUUUUAGGGUUAUAUAUGUUUCUGUAGUUUGUGGAGCCAAACAGAUGAUCUGAUUACCCACAGUAUCAAAAUUUAACAAGUUUUAUUUUCUUACAGCAUUCCGUGGCAAUAGAUGCUGGUUUCAGGAACUCUGGCAUAACGGUGGGAAAGAGAGGAAAAACUAUGUUGGCUGUCCGGAGUACACAUGGCUUAGAAGUUCCAUUAAGCCAUAAGGGAAAACUGAUGGUGACAGAGGAAUAUAUUGACUUCCUGUUAAAUGUGGCAAAUCAAAAAAUGGAGGAAAACAAGAAAAGAAUUGAGAGGCUGUGUGGAACAUGAGAAGGACACCAGUCAUUGACAUCACCUAAGAUGGUGACAAGACCUAGAAAGAAAGAUCAAGCCAAGCAUAGAAGUUUUCAUCAAUGUUUUACAACUGCCUACAGCAUGCUUUGGAAAGGGAAACCAUGACUAACUUACAUCCCAAGAUCAAAGAGAAAAAUAACUCAUCAUAUACUCAUAA